GAUGAACGCUAGCUACAGGCUUAACACAUGCAAGUCGAGGGGCAGCACAGAGAUAGCUUGCUAUCUUGGGUGGCGACCGGCGCACGGGUGAGUAACGCGUAUCCAACCUGCCCAUUACUCUGGGAUAGCCUUGCGAAAGUAAGAUUAAUACCGGAUGUUGUUAAAAACCCGCAUGAGUUUUUAACCAAAGAUUUAUUGGUAAUGGAUGGGGAUGCGUGACAUUAGGUAGUUGGUGAGGUAACGGCUCACCAAGCCUACGAUGUCUAGGGGUUCUGAGAGGAAGGUCCCCCACACUGGAACUGAGACACGGUCCAGACUCCUACGGGAGGCAGCAGUGAGGAAUAUUGGUCAAUGGACGAGAGUCUGAACCAGCCAAGUAGCGUGCAGGAUGACGGCCCUCUGGGUUGUAAACUGCUUUUAGUUGGGAAUAAAAAGAGGGACGUGUCCCUAAUUGUAUGUACCAUCAGAAAAAGGACCGGCUAAUUCCGUGCCAGCCGCCGCCGUAACAC
rnacentral:rRNA from 1 species